UACGUAGGGUGCGAGCGUUAAUCGGAAUUACUGGGCGUAAAGCGUGCGCAGGCGGUUUUGUAAGCCGGAUGUGAAAUCCCCGGGCUUAACCUGGGAAUGGCAUUCGGGACUGCAAGGCUGGAGUGCGGCAGAGGAGACUGGAAUUCCUGGUGUAGCAGUGAAAUGCGCAGAUAUCAGGAAGAACACCCGUGGCGAAGGCGGCUCUCUGGGACGGUACUGACGCUGAGACGCGAAAGCGUGGGGAGCGAACAGG
rnacentral:rRNA from 1 species